rnacentral:rRNA from 1 species
UACAGAGGUGGCAAGCGUUGUUCGGAAUUACUGGGCGUAAAGGGCCAGUAGGCGGCCAACUAAGUCGGACGUGAAAUCCCCAGGCUCAACCUGGGAACUGCGUCCGAUACUGGAUGGCUUGAAUUCGGGAGAGGGAUGCAGAAUUCCAGGUGUAGCGGUGAAAUGCGUAGAUAUCUGGAGGAACACCGGUGGCGAAGGCGGCAUCCUGGACCGGUAUUGACGCUGAGGCGCGAAAGCCAGGGGAGCAAACGGG